AUCCAGGAAUGGGAAUCGAACCCAGUGUUCCGCUUACCGGGCAGAUGCUAUGUCCACUAGAUUACCCUGGA
rnacentral:tRNA from 1 species